AUUGCACGCUGGCGGCAGGCCUAACACAUGCAAGUCGAACGAGCGGCGGACGGGUGAGUAAUGUCUGGGAAUCUGCCUGAUAGAGGGGGAUAACUACUGGAAACGGUGGCUAAUACCGCAUACCAUCCGAUGAGCCCAGAUGGGAUUAGCUAGUAUGUGGGGUAACGGCUCACCAAGGCCCCGAUCACUAGCUGGUCUGAGAGGUUGACCAGCCACACUGGGACGGAGACACGGUCCAGACUCCUACGGGAGGCAGCAGUGGGGAAUAUUGCACAAUGGGCGCAAGCCUGAUGCAGCCAUGCCGCGUGUAUGAAGAAGGCCUUCGGGUUGUAAAGUACUUUCAUCGGGGAGGCGUUACCCGCAGAAGAAGCACCGGCUAACUCCGUGCCAGCAGCCGCGGUAAUAC
rnacentral:rRNA from 1 species